rnacentral:rRNA from 1 species
AAGACCUUGCGCUUUUGGAGCGGCCGAUGCCUGAUUAGCUUGUUGGUAAGGUAAAAGCUUACCAAGGCUUCGAUCAGUAGCUGGUCUGAGAGGACGACCAGCCACACUGGGACUGAGACACGGCCCAGACUCCUACGGGAGGCAGCAGUGGGGAAUUUUGGACAAUGGGGGCAACCCUGAUCCAGCCAUGCCGCGUGAGUGAAGAAGGCCUUCGGGUUGUAAAGCUCUUUCAGCCGGAACGAAACGGUUACGGUUAAUACCCGUGACUACUGACGGUACGGGAAGAAGAAGCACCGGCUAACUACGUGCCAGCAGCCGCGGUAAUACGUAGGGUGCGAGCGUUAAUCGGAAUUACUGGGCGUAAAGCGUGCGCAGGUGGUUUUGUAAGUCAGAUGUGAAAGCCCCGGGCUCAACCUGGGAACU